AUUCUGCCCAAGCGGGGAAGGAUGAGAAGCUUCGACCAAGGUUCGACUUGAGCGUCAGCGAGAGAGCGUUGCCGCAGGCAACGACCCG
rnacentral:sRNA from 1 species